UACAGGGGGGGCAAGCGUUGUUCGGAAUUACUGGGCGUAAAGGGCUCGUAGGUGGCCAACUAAGUCAGACGUGAAAUCCCUCAGCUUAACUGGGGAACUGCGUCUGAUACUGGAUGGCUUGAGUUUGGGAGAGGGAUGCGGAAUUCCAGGUGUAGCGGUGAAAUGCGUAGAGAUGUGGAGGAACACCAAUGGCGAAGGCAGCCUUCUGGGCCAACACUGACGCUCAUGCACGAAAGCGUGGGGAGCAAACAGG
rnacentral:rRNA from 1 species